CCUACGGGAGGCAGCAGUAAGGAAUAUUGGUCAAUGGAGGCAACUCUGAACCAGCCAUGCCGCGUGCAGGAUGACGGCCCUAUGGGUUGUAAACUGCUUUUAUACAAGAGAAAACCCUGGUACGUGUACCAGGUUGAUAGUAUUGUAAGAAUAAGCAUCGGCUAACUUCGUGCCAGCAGCCGCGGUAAGACGAAGGAUGCAAGCGUUAUCCGGAUUCAUUGGGUUUAAAGGGUGCGUAGGCGGACUGAUAAGUCAGUGGUGAAAUCUCUUUGCUUAACAAAGAAACUGCCAUUGAUACUGUCGGUCUAGAGUAUAGAUGACGUUGGCGGAAUAUGACAUGUAGUGGUGAAAUACUUAGAUAUGUCAUAGAACACCGAUUGCGAAGGCAGCUAACGAAACUAUAACUGACGCUGAGGCACGAAAGUGCGGGGAUCAAACAGGAUUAGAUACCCUGGUAGUCCGCACCGUAAACGAUGAUUACUCGUUGUUGGCGAUAUGACAGUCAGCGACCAAGCGAAAGCGAUAAGUAAUCCACCUGGGGAGUACGCCGGCGACGGUGAACGUCGAAAGGAAGUUAGACGG
rnacentral:rRNA from 1 species